GGAGGUCACCCGAAUCGGUGAGGAAGCGGUUUUGAAAACCGCCGGUCGAAAGACUUGUGGGUUCGAGUCCCACGGCCUCCG
rnacentral:tRNA from 2 species